UAGGGAAUCUUCCGCAAUGGACGCAAGUCUGACGGAGCAACGCUGCGUGAGUGAAGAAGGAUUUCGGUUCGUAAAACUCUGUUGUUAGAGAAGAACAGCGCAUAGAGUAACUGUUAUGCGUGUGACGGUAUCUAACCAGAAAGCCACGGCUAACUACGUGCCAGCAGCCGCGGUAAUACGUAGGUGGCAAGCGUUGUCCGGAUUUAUUGGGCGUAAAGCGAGCGCAGGCGGUCAAUUAAGUCUGAUGUGAAAGCCCCCGGCUCAACCGGGGAGGGUCAUUGGAAACUGGUUGACUUGAGUGCAGAAGAGGAGAGUGGAAUUCCAUGUGUAGCGGUGAAAUGCGUAGAUAUAUGGAGGAACACCAGUGGCGAAGGCGACUCUCUGGUCUGUAACUGACGCUGAGGCUCGAAAGCGUGGGUAGCAAACAGG
rnacentral:rRNA from 1 species